CUGAUCCACUUCUAAUUCACCUGUUGUUAAUUUCGCGAACCUUUCCUAAUCCCUUGCAGCUGAGAUGUCCUCACCAUUGGAGAAGCAAUUAACAAAAAUCCCUGACUGGAGUCUAUGAAGCAUCUGUUAAGGAAGUAUAAAAGGUUAACUUAAAUCCCAGCACACAGUUGUCAGACUAGAACAAAUCAGCAUGGAGAAUUACCUGGAGGCACCACAAGGUUAAGGUGGAGCAUAUGUGUGGUAAAAAGGUUGUUUAUUACUAGCAGAAUUAAUUUUCCAGGAUGAGAAGGUCAGAAAUACAGAAAUGAAGGCUGUCUGUGAUGAGCAGAGACUGUUUUAGGCUUUGAAUUUCACCUGGCAAACACCAAGGGAUUUCUGCCUUCCCUACGGAUGACAUGAUGCUUUUAAAGGAGCUGCCUAUUGAGUCACUGGUGCCUCUUUCAUUUGCUAGAUCCUCAAUACAGUGUCUCCCAAGUACUUUCUCCUAGAGGUGCCUCCACCUUGUCUGUGGAUACCCAGCUGUAGGGCGCUGGAGCUGGCUGAAAUCUGCACAGGACCUCUCCCCAUAGAGGCAGACCUGGGAGCCUCCCACCACAGCCCUGACACAUGCACUUAAUGAUGAUAUGUACCGCUGCCCUUGUUGAUAGCUGCAGAAGAAUGACAGAGGACUUCAAAGGGAAUGCAGAUGUCCGGCUCACCAUUAGCUUUGAUGUACAUCUCUCCACUCCUUGCUGCCACUUUACAGCUGCAGCCUGGCAGUGAAGAUUAUGUCUCACAGUGCUGUAAAAUCCUUAUUUGAACUCCAUACAGUAAUACUUUCUGCUGCUUCAAGCCCUAUCUAGAAAGGUUUCAGAG
rnacentral:lncRNA from 1 species